rnacentral:rRNA from 1 species
UACGGAGGGUGCAAGCGUUGUCCGGAUUUAUUGGGUUUAAAGGGUGCGUAGGCGGUCUUUUAAGUCAGUGGUGAAAGCCAACAGCUCAACUGUUGAAUUGCCAUUGAUACUGGAAGACUUGAGUAUAGGCGAGGUAGGCGGAAUUGACGGUGUAGCGGUGAAAUGCAUAGAUAUCGUCAAGAACACCGAUUGCGAAGGCAGCUUACUAGACUAUAACUGACGCUGAGGCACGAAAGUGCGGGGAUCAAACAGG